AGAGAGAGACAUGCGCGCAUAUCAAUAAGCGGAGGAAAAGAAACUAACAAGGAUUCCCCUAGUAACGGCGAGUGAAGCGGGAAGAGCUCAAAUUUGAAAUCUUAAAGGGUUUUCCCCUUUACGAAUUGUAGUUUAAAGAAGUGUUUUCUGUUGAGGUUUUGGUAAAAGUUCUUUGGAAUAGGACAUCAUAGAGGGUGAGAAUCCCGUAUUUGACCUUUACUUUCAACUUUGUGAUACACUUUCAAAGAGUCGGAUUGUUUGGGAAUGCAGUCCAAAAUGGGUGGUAAAUUUCAUCUAAAGCUAAAUAUUGGCGAGAGACCGAUAGCGAACAAGUACCGUGAGGGAAAGAUGAAAAGAACUUUGAAAAGAGAGUUAAACAGUACGUGAAAUUGUCAAAAGGGAAGCGUUUGACACCAGUGUUGUUUUUCUGAAAAUCAAUUAAAGAACUGUUUAUGCUAAGUUGUUUAGACUUUAUCAGCUAACUGUUUAGUUUUGAGCUUUUCUUUAAUGCACUUUUCAGUUAACAAGUCAACAUCAAUUUCUUUUGCUGUAAAAAAGCUUGAGGAAGGUGGCUUGAGAUUCGUCUUAAGUGUUUAUAGCCUCUUGCCUAUGCAGUCGGAGAGAUUGAGGUCUGCAGCGUAGAUCCUUCGGGGCUAAAUGCAUUUGUGCUAAGUUAUAGCAUUUUAUAGACAACUUGUUGACUAUGAUUUGUCUUGUAGCUUACUCGCUUAUGUUAUUUUACCUACGCUUAGGAUGUUGAGCGCAUGUCUCUCUCU
rnacentral:rRNA from 1 species